rnacentral:lncRNA from 1 species
CACAGCUCACGGCAACACCAGAUCCUUAACCCACUGAGUGAGGCCAGGGAUCAAACCCUCAACCUCAUGGUUCCUAGUCAGAUUCGUCUCUGCUGAGUCACGACAGGAACUCCCCACUUGGUUCUUUUUCAACCUUCAUGUUAGGCAGAUUGGUAAAUGUGGAUGAUAUAAAAAAGUUUGCAAAGCAAAUGCCGUCACGUAAAAAAAUAACUGAGUGGAAAAGGGAGAGGGUGUAGCAUAUCAGACACAGGUCAUGGGAUUACUCAUUCAUUCAAAGGUAAGUGUUGUGUGCUUUCUUUUAUGCUACUUUGUCAUUCACACAAGAGUCCACUUAGGUCCAUACUGUCAUUUUAGAAAUGAAAAAACAGGUUCAGGGAAGAUAAUUUGUACAAGGUCACAUAGACAGUGAGUGAUAAAGAAGAUUGGCACUUAGGUCUACCUGAUUCCAAUUCCAAAUAUGGACCCGAGUGUAUUAAUAUAAAUGCCAAGUGACAUACAUUUCAUCAUUCCCACUCCUUUUUCCCUCUUGCUCCACCCUUAUUUGAUAAUAUGGGAACUAUGUAAUUGAUACAGAAAUACAGGUUUAUACCACUGAUAAGAGGUGCUACGUCGUUAAGAACUUUGAAUAAAUAUCAAAAGGCUUAAAAUAUUCAUGUUCUUUGAACCGAUAAUUCCAAUUCUAAGAUUUUUAUCCUAAGAGAAGAAUCAGAAAUUUGCACAGGAAUUCCCUGGUGGCUCAGCUGGUUAAGGAUCUGGUGUUGUCAUUCCUAUGGUGCAAGUCUGAUCCCUGGCCUGGGAACUUUUGCAUAUUAUUUUAUUAAUAAUAAUAAUUAAAAGACUGGCACAAAUAUCUAUGUGCAAAAUAUCUUAGUGAAUUACAGCACUAUCCAUAAUUGUGAAUGAUUGGAAUUAAUGUAAAUUCCAAUAACAGAAUACAGUCACACAAUAUAAUUCUAUAUAGCUAUUAAAAAUAUUUUAGAACACUUAAUAUGAGAUAUUUAUAAUACAUGAUCCACAGAAAAAAGAUUGGAUGGACAUAAAUACCAGUAUGUGAUAAUAAUAGUUAAAUCUACCUAGUAACAUUACAGCUGAUUCUCAAUUUUUUUCAGUUUCUUUGUAUUUUCCAAAUUUUCUAUAAUAAAUAUGUAUUCUUUUGUAAUUAGAUGUUAUAUAGCUUUUAAACAAAAAAAUCAGGUUAUAACCUUUAAAAAAUAUAUUUGUAUUAAAAACAGUAAUAACGGCCCCAAAAUGGAGUCACUUAUCACUAAAUCAAGACUUAAUUACAGUUUUGGCUUUCCCAGAAAUUCCAGUCAGGAACUGCCUAAUUAGCAUUAAUUAAUCUGUCUGAUAGACCCCUGAAAUCCUAAAGGAAAGUAACACUACAAUAACCAAACCGCUAGUUUAACUUUAUUCUCAUUCCCUUCCAGCUAUAAAAAUUUUUCAUUUUGUAUGACUCCCCAGAGUUCCCUUCUAACUGCUAGAUUAGAUAUUGCCUGAUUCAAAUUGACUUUUGGGCAAAUAAACUUAACAUUUUUAGUAUGCCACAGUUUAUAUUCCAACAUCGGGAAUGAUGGAACAAUGGACUGUCAAUGAUAUAUCCAAAACCACUGUAGGAGAAAACAGAACAAAUAGUUCACAGAGAACUUAGAAACAAAGUUAGGGAGGAAAAGUAAUUAGAUGAAGAUGAGCUUAAGUGAAUGUAAAUAACUUUAUUUUCACAAUUAUUUAUCUUGGUAGAGAAGAACUCUAAUAUUUAUUUGUAAGUUGUACGACUUAAUUCUUAAUGUACAGAGAAAAUAAAGGUCUUCAUGAAAUAUACACGAGCCAGAAAAUUUCUUUCCUUAAUUUUGCUGUGAAAUGGGUAUGGAAGUGCUUUACUAAUCCAUUACUAUAACCAUCAGACAAUUGUCAUGUUCUACCUCUAGAAACUGCUAUGUGACUUGUCACAGGGAUCUGAUAUUACACAAAAAGUAAACUUCCAAAGAUUCUGAAGAUACUUUCAUUCUCACCCCAUUUCUUGGUUGACAAAUGCAGACAACUGCCUUGUGUGAUAGCAUGUCAACUGUAGAGCACUGCACUCCUAAAAGUACAAUGCUGCUCAAAUCCACAUGGGAUACCAUCAUUUUCUUACUUUAGGUAUGGGAGAAAUGUCAGGAAAUAUCAACCGCUCCAGUGCUUUUUACUCAUCAGCUAUCACUGACAAGAGUGAACUGAGAUGGAAGAUGGGCACAAUUUAAUUGAACUUUUUCUAUAUAGUAUAAUGGGCCUAGAACAUGGCAUGACUAUUUAACAUGGGAAAUAUAUGAGAUUAGAGAUCAGAAAGUAUUGAGUUUUGUAUUGUUCUAACUUCACCACUAAUUUAAGAAUGUAAUCUUGCGCAAGUCACUUAAACCUCUACAAAUGUCAAAUUUUUUAUCAGCAAAAUGUGACUCAAUAAGAUAAUGAAUUUGAAGAAACACUGCAAAAUUAAAGGUUCCAAGGAAAUAAUUCUUCCACCCCCAAAGGUUAUGAACAUCAUUAAAAUUUACAACAUGGAAGAGCUCACACAGAGACCUAACUAUGAUCCAUGGACAGAUAUACAGAAAUGGUAUCAUAUUACAGAGAAUCACAGGUCGAAAAAAGACAAAGAAUGGACACCAACCUAUGCCUGAAGAAAGCUCUAUUUUCACAGGAAACACAGAGCUCCUAGCUAAAUUCUGUUUAGGUGGUAUGAAAAUUAUCCAACAAUAUGUCCUAACUUCAAAGGGAAAGAACUGUAUCUUGAAAAGUGAAGAGGCCUUUAGAGAAACCAACAAGAGAUGCAUUAACUCAGGCUUCAAGCUCCAGACCAAAUUAAAGUUUCCCAAAGCUGUGAAAGAGGCCCAGAAAGAAGAAAUUCUUGCAGAAGGUAGAAUCCUUGAAAGCCAGCUUUGAUGGAUUUGAUGGAUAGACAAUUAUGCAACUGAUUGACCAACCUCUUCCGGGAGGCAGCUUCAGGGACUAGGGCUUUUCUUUUUAAUGGACUUGGGCUAUUCCUGCGUCUAAGAGGCUGACUCACAAACAAUGCUAAGCAACUAAAAUAGCUUCUUAUUGAAGAGGAAAAUUAAUUUUCAAAGGGGAAGUAGGGGGUGUGACAGACAUGGUAGUUAGCAGUCUACUACUGACUCUAUCACACCACCAUAGCCAGAAAAGCCUGCUGACGUGUCAGACAUGUUAAAAAGUGAAAGUUUGCCACAGUGCAUGUAGCUUUCUCCUCAGGUAUUUCAAGAAAGAAAUUAUAAGGCCAACUUCCAUAAUUAUGCCUGUUAUACAACAAUAAGGACAAACCAGGGGCCUAGGAAUUCAGUUUUCUAGAGAGUCCCAUCAAUAUAGCCAUAUACUGACCCAUUCUCUAAUGGAACUAGCUGGAGAAAUAUAAAUAUCAAGACUAUGAGAACAUCAAAGGCCUCACUGGAAAAGCCCCCACACAGAAAAAUGUGUGGGUGUGAAUUCUUCCAUUCUGGAAGGGUAAAGGCCUGAGCUGAUGAUGCUGGGAUGAGACACUGAAGGCUUUAGAGAAGCGAAACAAGCAUAAUAAAGUUGACACACGGAUUACCAAAUAGCCUUUCCCUUAGAACUAAUGCUAAAUUUGUGGUUUUGAUUUGAAAGGUACAGAGAGACAUUCUGUAUUUUUUUAGUAAAAAAGGGAAAAGACCAUGAUCAUUUGUGUCUGUCUCUAUUUCUAAAAGAAAAAAAAUAUUUGCCUCUAAUCAGGCUUUUUCUUCGUUUCUUCCCCUUGAGGAACUGUACACUUAUUUUAAAAUUUUACGAAGACGUUUUAUAUUCUUCAGAGUAUUCCCUAAUGCAUGGAAAAAAAGCAAUGAACCAUUUUUCUCCGUUCUUUUUAAGUACAAUUAAGUGUUCCCUAGAAUGUGUAACCUUUCCUGCCUACCCACCCUCAUCUUAAUUCUAAAAUUACACAUCAACAUUUAAACCAUGUUGUCAAAAUUCAGUUGAAAGACAUAUUCCUUCAAAAUUCUUUAUAACCACCUUUCUUGAUGCAGCAAUCACCUUUUACCCGGGAUUACACUUGUCUAUAUGUAUGUCUCCUCUAUUACAUACAAGGUUCUUUGAGUAAGAAUACAAAUGAUCAGUGUGUGGACUUUGGAGACAGAAUAUUUUGAUUUCAAAUCCUUGUUCUGCCCUAAACUGUCAGUAAGGGCCAAACAACCCAGAAUAAAUUACUUAACUUCCCUGAGCUUCAGUUUUCUAACCUACAAAAUGGUACCAUGACUUAACAGGUAUGGCUUAAACUAGACUGUGCCUGCUCAGACUUUUUUCUUUCUCUAUACCUGAUGGCAUCAUAGGUACUAGGUAAAUAUCUGUUUAAAAAACAGACAAGAAAUGAAUAAGGCAGUAACAACAGAGAAGUUACAAGAAAUAUCUUUGAAAAAGGAUUUCCCCAAUUCCUCCUAGUUUAAAUUAGAUAUAUGUAUGCCAUCAUUCAGGCAUCAUAGUUAAGAAAAAAAUGAACACAAUCCUAAAUGUCCUACCUGAUCUAAUGACUGAAAAAUACUGAUCUGAUUAUUAUUAUUUCAUACAUAUGUAAUAUUAUUAUUACUGUUACAUUCAUAGUGUUGCAGGUGCUUCAGAGGCUGUGUUAAAAAGUAAUAACAUAAAAACUAGAAACUUCUGGAUUGGUCUAUAAAUGACACACACAUGAAGCCUAUUAUAAAACUAGCAUCACUACCCUUGGAUUUAAACCCUUCUCUGAAUAUCUGUCACAAGUUUUUUGUAGUAUUUUAUUCAUUUUUUCAUAACGAUGUUCUAAGACAAACAAUGGAUACCCCUCUUAGUAACUUCUGUUGAUUGAGUUCUGGUCUCUGAAUUGUAAGAGUAAUCUUGGAAGAACUGAGCCCAAAUACUUCAGCUUAGAGAACUGCUCUCACUCCACAAAACAUACUCAUACAAACAUACUGUGGCUCACUGUGACCUUCUAGACUGCUUAUUACCCUGCUUUUCUCACCCCUGCUCACAAUAAUUAGGCCAGUACUGGUACUCCCCAAGCUGGCCAUAUUAUCUUUCUCCUAAAGAAUAUACAAGUGGUAUUCCAGAAAUUCCAGUCAGUAAGCUUCCUAUAAACAAAUAAACUUGAGGGUGCUUACUAUAAUGGUCAUUUUCUGCCUUUACUUAAAGAAAUAAAAGCAAUCUGUCCAAUAAAGAGAAUAAAUGAAAUGGACAUGAAGAGGGAGAAAGCUCUCAUAGCUCAGACAGCUCCUGAGAGACUGAGAAGAAAAAGCAUUAUCGGUUCUGGCAACAUUCCAACUCUCAUUAUAGCCACCUGAUGCCCAGCAAAAAUAAUAAAGGAGCCCCCCGCACCCCCCCCCAAAUCUGUCAAAAAAAGAGACAAAACCCCAUCAAAUCUAGCAUUAGUAGUCCUUCCUAUGCAAACCCUUUUCUGGGUUUUUAAGGGUUGUUAAAC